rnacentral:rRNA from 1 species
GACAGAGGCCUCAAGCGUUAGGCGGAAUCACUGGGCUUAAAGCGCGUGUAGGCGGCCCGGUAAGUCCGCUGUGAAAGUCCAGGGCUCAACCCUGGGAUGCCGGUGGAUACUGUCGGGCUCGAGUCCGGAAGAGGCGAGUGGAAUUCCUGGUGUAGCGGUGAAAUGCGCAGAUAUCAGGAGGAACACCAAUGGCGAAGGCAGCUCGCUGGGACGUGACUGACGCUGAGACGCGAAAGCGUGGGGAGCAAACAGG